ACAUUUGCAUGGGCAGCCCCUCCUCUGCCAGCCCAGUGGGGCUGGGAUAAGAGAGGCCUGGGGCCGCCCAGCCCAGGUCUGUGGGCUCAGCAGGGCUGUGUCCACCAUGGGCCUGACUCCUGUCCUCCUCAUGCUCCUCUCUCACUGCACAGGUUCCCUGUCCCUGCCUGUGCUGACUCAGCCGCCCUCCGUCUCUGCCUCUCCCGGAACAACGGCCAGACUCGCCUGCACCCUGAGCAGGGACCUCAGUGUGGGUGGCAAAAACAUGUACUGGUACCAGCAGAAGCCAGGGAGCCCUCCCCGGUUUUUCCUUUACUACUACUCAGACUCAGACAAGCAGCUGGGACCUGGGGUCCCCAGCCGAGUCUCUGGAUCUAAAGAUGCCUCCAGUAACACAGCGUUUCUGCUCAUCUCGGGGCUCCAGACUGAGGACGAGGCUGAUUAUUACUGUCAGGUGUAUGACAGUGGUGCUAAGCACAGUGACAGAGACAGAUGA